UCCUAGGGGGGGCGGCAGUGGGGAAUUUUGGACAAUGGGGGCAACCCUGAUCCAGCCAUCCCGUGUGUGCGAUGAAGGCCUUCGGGUUGUAAAGCACUUUUGGCAGGGAAGAAAAGGCCCGGGAUAAUCCCUCGGGUUCAUGACGGUACCUGCAGAAUAAGCACCGGCUAACUACGUGCCAGCAGCCGCGGUAAUACGUAGGGUGCAAGCGUUAAUCGGAAUUACUGGGCGUAAAGCGUGCGCAGGCGGUUCGGAAAGAAAUGUGUGAAAUCCCAGGGCUUAACCUUGGAACUGCACUUUUAACUACCGGGCUAGAGUACGUCAGAGGGGGGUAGAAUUCCACGUGUAGCAGUGAAAUGCGUAGAGAUGUGGAGGAAUACCGAUGGCGAAGGCAGCCCCCUGGGAUGAUACUGACGCUCAUGCACGAAAGCGUGGGGAGCAAACAGGAUUAGAUACCCUGGUAGUCCACGCCCUAAACGAUGUCAACUAGCUGUUGGGGUUUAUUAACCCAGUAGCGCAGCUACCGCAUGAAGUGACCGCCUGGGA
rnacentral:rRNA from 1 species